rnacentral:rRNA from 1 species
CUACGGGAGGCAGCAGUGGGGAAUUUUGGACAAUGGGCGCAAGCCUGAUCCAGCAAUGCCGCGUGCAGGAAGAAGGCCUUCGGGUUGUAAACUGCUUUUGUACGGAACGAAACGGCGAGCUCUAAUACAGUUUGCUAAUGACGGUACCGUAAGAAUAAGCACCGGCUAACUACGUGCCAGCAGCCGCGGUAAUACGUAGGGUGCAAGCGUUAAUCGGAAUUACUGGGCGUAAAGCGUGCGCAGGCGGUUUUGUAAGACAGUCGUGAAAUCCCCGGGCUCAACCUGGGAAUUGCGAUUGUGACUGCAAAGCUGGAGUGCGGCAGAGGGGGAUGGAAUUCCGCGUGUAGCAGUGAAAUGCGUAGAUAUGCGGAGGAACACCGAUGGCGAAGGCAAUCCCCUGGGCCUGCACUGACGCUCAUGCACGAAAGCGUGGGGAGCAAACAGGAUUAGAUACCCUGGUAGUCCACGCCCUAAACGAUGUCAACUGGUUGUUGGGUCUCUUCUGA